UACAUGUUCUAAAUGACUUGGACAAGUGUUUGAGUAAGUUAGAGAGUGAUUGGAGGGUUAAAAGUGAGAAAUUGCAUUGAUCUGGCGAAAAUCAGGGUUUUCUGCUUGCUGUACCGGUACAGCCAUCACCUUGUACCGGUACAGCAUUGGCAGAUUCGUGGCAGCAGGGCUGUUUUGGUAAUUUCACACUUGAUCCCUAUCUAUUAGACCCCAGCUCGACCUGGGAUGUUCAGAUAUGCAUGUUUGAGCUCAGAGAAGUGCUCUUCCUUCUCUCUUUCUCUCUCUCUCUAGGGUUUCUCUCUCUCUACGAAGAAAUCGUCGAUUUCGCUCGUUUUCGUCGCCGCGCUUAUUCCUCGCUGUUUGCAAGCGUCGCAGAGCCCUUAUGGACGUGUGAGGGAGUGUUUUGGACGGGUUUUCGCAGCCCUGGACCAGCAGGUCAUUGGUUGGAAGCUUGAGAAGGAAUUACCUCUUCGCAGCAGGUCUUCGAGCCUUGUUCAGCUGAACUUGUACACUGUGAAGUUGGUUUGGAAGCUAUUCUACCCUGAGCGAGAGUGCGAUCGAGCC